GAGAGAGAAUCCCAAGCAGGCUCCACACUCUGCAUGGAGUUCAACUUGGGCCUCAUCUCACAACUGUGAGCUCGUGACCUGAGCCGAAAUCCAGAGUUGGAUGCUUAACCCACUGGGCCACCCAGGUGCCCCUUCCUGUGAGUCCCUAUAGGUUGAAGUCCUACUUGAUUUAGGCUUUUGUGAACUUCAGAACAAAUACAGGUGACGAAUUAAAUCACAUUUAUGUUUGGAUGUCAUCCAGGCACAAAAACUCAAGGUGAAGAAUAUUUAAAUUGUUAGCACCCCUCUCCCUCUCUCUCUCUCCCUCUCUCUCUCUCUGUCUCUCUCUCUUUUUUAAGUAGCCAUAUUUUAAUUAAUUAAUUUAUUAUUAUUAUGUUUUUGGUGGUAGCAAACUGUAUAGCACAUUUUUAAAUUGGAAUUCAGAAUAUUCAUUGGCUGACUUAAAGUCAGGUUUCUGUGUUGGUUGAAAAUAGAAUAGCCCACAUGUCCAACUAAAAGCUGUCAGCUAUGUUUGGAAACUGAUCUAGUAAAGCACCCGCAAUUAAAUUUUAUUUUUGCUUAUUGUUUAAGAGGAGACUUAUGCCUGAGUCUUAGGUAGCCUCCAUCUCCGAAGCUUACAUGUGACAUCCGUGAAGGCCAUGUCAACAGCAGAAGCUGCCAGCGGGUUACGUUCCACACCAUUCCGCCACUCUGGCCGAGAGCCUGGGACUUCCCGUCCCCUGCCCGUCAGGCUUCCUGAGCCGCUCCAGUGAGAUGCCACAGGUCACCACCAUGAGCUAAGUGCACAGAGGUUCUAGUGAGUAGCCUGGGCCUCAUGGUGCCUCAGGUAGCUGAGGGAUGGAGUACCUGGGUCGUUCGUGAGCCUCCUUAGGAUUUUCCUGGUUUAUUUAUAUUUUUUGAAGUUUAUUUAUUUAUUUAUUUUGAGAGAGCGAGAGAGCGAGAAUCUCAAACAGGGAUAGUGCUGAUAGUGCAAUGGGGUUCAAACUCCCGAACUGUGAGAUCACGACCUGAGCCGAAACCAAGAGUCGGACGCUUAACUGACUGAGCCCCCCAGACACCCCAGGAUUUUCCCUGUUUUAAAGUUAAGGUUACCUUCUGCUGAGAAACACUGAGGUUCUCCAGCUCUCAGAGUGUGGGUAUCCAGGGUUGCAGGAGCAUGAUAGAUAAACACUAGGGUUAGGUUCUGUUUUACAUUAGUUUUUCUUAAAUUGUACUGUGGGUGUUCACACUGGUAAAGAUUAGAAAGUCUGGUUACUAAUCGGCUUGUGCUGCACGGCUGGCAUGAGCAGAUCUUUCAGCUGGUGUGUUAUUAGGAGAUUUCAUUAAUUUGUGCUCAUGUAAAUCUUCAAAUUUUAUCUUUUCAAAUUCCUUCUAAUGUUUCGUAUUCUAAAGAUUGGUCUUCAAGGAAAAAAAAUUUUGUAUGGCAAUAAAUAUGAUUGCUGUAA